rnacentral:rRNA from 1 species
UACGUAGGCAGCUAGCGUUGUUCGGAAUUACUGGGCGUAAAGCGAGUGUAGGCAGUUUGCCAAGUCCGUUGUGAAAUCUCCCGGCUCAACUGGGAGGGUGCGGCGGAAACUGGCAGGCUAGAGUACGGAAUGGGGGAGUGGAAUUCCUGGUGUAGCGGUGAAAUGCGUAGAUAUCAGGAGGAACACCGGUGGUGAAGACGGCUCUCUGGACCGUUACUGACGCUGAGACUCGAAAGCGUGGGGAGCAAACAGG